CCCGCUGAACUUAAGCAUAUCAGUAAGCGGAGGAAAAGAAACUAACAAGGAUUCCCUCAGUAAUGGCGAAUGAACCGGGAUGAGCUCAAAUUUAAAAUCUGACUGGGCUACCAGUUCGAGUUGUAAUUUAUAGAAGCGUUUUCUUGUAAAUUGAUUGGUAAAAGUUCCUUGGAACAGGACAUCAUAGAGGGUGAGAAUCCCGUCUCUGACCUUUCAUAUUUACUUUAUGAUACGUUUUCAAAGAGUCGGGUUGCUUGGGAAUGCAGCUCAAAAUGGGUGGUAAAUUUCAUCUAAAGCUAAAUAUUGGCAAGAGACCGAUAGCGAACAAGUACCGUGAGGGAAAGAUGAAAAGAACUUUGAAAAGAGAGUUAAAUAGUACGUGAAAUUGUUAAAAGGGAAGCGCUUGAAACCAGUAUUGUGUGCCAGAAUUCAGCCGUAAUUUAUAAAGAGUUGCGGUGUAUUUUCUGGUAUGCAAGUCAAUAUCAGUUUUGCUUGUUGGAAAAGGGAAAGAGGAAGGUGACCAUUGGUUUCGGCCUUUGGUCUUAUAGACUCUUUCUUAUACAGCGAGUCGGGACUGAGGACUGCAGUACUAAAAGGUCUAUUUGGCUUAUAGUGAGGCAUCAAGGUAGGACUACAUGUAGACCUGACUUGCUUCUUUGCUAUACGGUCAAUACGAUUCUCCAGUAUUUAGGAUAUUGACGAAAUGGUUUUAAACGACCCGUCUUGAAACACGG
rnacentral:rRNA from 1 species